AUUGAACGCUGGCGGCAGGCCUAACACAUGCAAGUCGAGCGGAUGAAGGGAGUUUGCUCCUGGAUUCAGCGGCGGACGGGUGAGUAAUGCCUAGGAAUCUGCCUGGUAGUGGGGGAUAACGUCCGGAGACGGGCGCUAAUACCGCAUACGUCCUGAGGGAGAAAGUGGGGGAUCUUCGGACCUCACGCUAUCAGAUGAGCCUAGGUCGGAUUAGCUAGUUGGUGGGGUAAAGGCCUACCAAGGCGACGAUCCGUAACUGGUCUGAGAGGAUGAUCAGUCACACUGGAACUGAGACACGGUCCAGACUCCUACGGGAGGCAGCAGUGGGGAAUAUUGGACAAUGGGCGAAAGCCUGAUCCAGCCAUGCCGCGUGUGUGAAGAAGGUCUUCGGAUUGUAAAGCACUUUAAGUUGGGAGGAAGGGCAGUAAGUUAAUACCUUGCUGUUUUGACGUGACCAACAGAAUAAGCACCGGCUAACUUCGU
rnacentral:rRNA from 1 species